rnacentral:rRNA from 1 species
ACGGUCCUAAGGUAGCGAAAUUCCUUGUCAGGUAAGUUCUGACCCGCACGAAUGGUGUAACGAUUUGGGCACUGUCUCAACAACCCGCCCGGCGAAAUUGUAGUACCGGUGAAGAUGCCGGUUACCCGCGACUAGACGGAAAGACCCCAUGGAGCUUCACUGCAGCUUAAUAUUGGAUUUUGGUAUUUCAUGUACAGGAUAGGUGGGAGACUGAGAAGCAAAGGCGUCAGCUUUUGUGGAGUCGCUGUUGGGAUACCACUCUUGAAGUGCUGAAAUUCUAACCUGCGCCCUUGAAUCAGGGCGGGGGACAUUGUUAGGUGGGCAGUUUGACUGGGGCGGUCGCCUCCAAAAAGGUAACGGAGGCGCUCAAAGGUUCGCUCAGCAUGGAUGGAAACCAUGCCAGAGAGUGUAAACGCAAAAGCGAGCCUAACUGCGAGACUGACGGGUCGAGCAGUAACGAAAGUUGGAGUUAGUGAUCCGGCGGUAUGUGAGUGGAAAUGCCGUCGCUCAACGGAUAAAAGCUACCCUGGGGAUAACAGGCUGAUCUCCCCCAAGAGUCCACAUCGACGGGGAGGUUUGGCACCUCGAUGUCGGCUCAUCGCAUCCUGGGGCUGAAUUCGGUCCCAAGGGUUUGGCUGUUCGCCAAUUAAAGCGGUACGCGAGCUGGGUUCAGAACGUCGUGAGACAGUUCGGUCCCUAUCUGUCGUGGGCGCAGGAUAUUUGAAAGGAGCUGUCCCUAGUACGAGAGGACCGGGAUGGACGCACCUCUGGUGCACCAGUUGUCACGCCAGUGGCACAGCUGGGCAGCUAAGUGCGGAACGGAUAAACGCUGAAGGCAUCUAAGCGUGAAGCCGGCCUUAAGAUAAGAUAUCCCAUUACGUAAGUAAGUAAGACCCCUCAAAGACUAUGAGGUUGAUAGGUCUGAGGUGUAAGCAUGGCGACAUGUUAAGCCAGCGGAUACUAAUAGGUCGAGGGCUUUUCCUU